rnacentral:rRNA from 1 species
UACGUAGGGUGCAAGCGUUGUCCGGAAUUAUUGGGCGUAAAGAGCUCGUAGGCGGUUUGUCGCGUCUGCCGUGAAAGUCCGGGGCUCAACUCCGGAUCUGCGGUGGGUACGGGCAGACUAGAGUGAUGUAGGGGAGACUGGAAUUCCUGGUGUAGCGGUGAAAUGCGCAGAUAUCAGGAAGAACACCCGUGCGAAGGCGGUCUCUGGGC